rnacentral:rRNA from 1 species
UACGGAGGAUCCAAGCGUUAUCCGGAUUUAUUGGGUUUAAAGGGUGCGUAGGCGGAUUGAUAAGUUAGAGGUGAAAUGUCCGAGCUCAACUCGGGAACUGCCUCUAAUACUGUUGAUCUAGAGAGUAGAUGCGGUAGGCGGAAUGUAUGGUGUAGCGGUGAAAUGCUUAGAGAUCAUACAGAACACCGAUUGCGAAGGCAGCUUACCAAUCUAUCUCUGACGUUGAGGCACGAAAGCGUGGGGAGCAAACAGG